rnacentral:rRNA from 1 species
UCGGGAAUUUUGGGCAAUGGGCGAAAGCCUGACCCAGCAACGCCGCGUGAAGGAUGAAGUAUUUCGGUAUGUAAACUUCGAAAGAAUAGGAAGAAUAAAUGACGGUACUAUUUAUAAGGUCCGGCUAACUACGUGCCAGCAGCCGCGGUAAUACGUAGGGACCAAGCGUUGUUCGGAUUUACUGGGCGUAAAGGGCGCGUAGGCGGCAUGACAAGUCACUUGUGAAAUCUCUGGGCUUAACCCAGAACGGCCAAGUGAUACUGUCGCGCUAGAGUGCAGAAGGGGCAAUCGGAAUUCUUGGUGUAGCGGUGAAAUGCGUAGAUAUCAAGAGGAACACCUGAGGUGAAGACGGGUUGCCGGGCUGACACUGACGCUGAGGCGCGAAAGCCAGGGGAGCAAACGGGAUUAGAUACCCUUGUAGUCCCUGA